rnacentral:rRNA from 1 species
GACGAACGCUGGCGGCGUGCUUAACACAUGCAAGUCGAACGGAAAGGCCCGCCUUUUGGGGGUUCCCCGAUGGCCAAAGGGGGGGGAAAAACUGAAGAACCCUCCCCUUAACUUGGGAAUAACUCCAGGAAACGGGGCCAAUAACCGAUAAGAAGCUCCUGCGCCAGGGGGGGGGUGGAAAAUUUUGGGGGUUGGGGAUGGACUCGAGGGUUAUUAGCUUGUUGGUGGGGGAGUGGCCUACCAAGGCUUUGACGGGUAGCCGGCCUGAGAGGGUGACCGGCCACAUUGGGACUGAGAUACGGCCCAGACUCCUACGGGAGGCAGCAGUGGGGAAUAUUGCACAAUGGGCGGAAGCCUGAUGCAGCAACGCCGCGUGCGGGAUGACGGCCUUCGGGUUGUAAACCGCUUUCGCCUGUGACGAAGCGUGAGUGACGGUAAUGGGUAAAGAAGCACCGGCUAACUACGUG